GAUGAACGCUGGCGGCGUGCCUAAUACAUGCAAGUCGAGCGAACGGACGAGAAGCUUGCUUCUCUGAUGUUAGUGGCGGACGGGUGAGUAACACGUGGAUAACCUACCUAUAAGACUGGGAUAACUUCGGGAAACCGGAGCUACUACCGGAUAAUAUUUUGACCCGCAUGGUUCAAAAGUGAAAGACGGUCUUGCUGUCACUUAUAGAUGGAUCCGCGCUGCAUUAGCUAGUUGGUAAGGUAACGGCUUACCAAGGCAACGAUGCAUAGCCGACCUGAGAGGGUGGUCGGCCACACUGGAACUGAGACACGGUCCAGACUCCUACGGGAGGCAGCAGUAGGGAAUCUUCCGCAAUGGGCGAAAGCCGGACGGAGCAACGCCGCGUGAGUGAUGAAGGUCUUCGGAUCGUAAAACUCUGUUAUUAGGGAAGAACAUAUGUGUAAGUAACUGUGCACAUCUUGACGGUACCUAAUCAGAAAGCCACGGCUAACUACGUG
rnacentral:rRNA from 1 species